rnacentral:rRNA from 1 species
UACGUAGGGGGCUAGCGUUGUCCGGAUUUAUUGGCGUAAGAGCGUGUAGGCGGCCAGAUAGGUCUGCUGUGAAAACUCGAGGCUCAACCUCGAGAUGUCGGCGGAAACCAUUUGGCUAGAGUCCGGAAGAGGAAAGUGGAAUUCCUGGUGUAGCGGUGAAAUGCGCAGAUAUCAGGAAGAACACCCGUGGCGAAGGCGGCCUGCUGGAGCCGGGCCGACGCUGAGGCGCGAGAGCGCGGGGAGCGAACGGAUGAU